rnacentral:rRNA from 1 species
GACGUAGGGGGCGAGCGUUGUCCGGAUUUAUUGGGCGUAAAGCGCGCGUAGGCGGCUGCGCAAGUCGGUUGUGAAACCCCGGGGCUCAACCCCGGAACUGCAUCCGAUACUGCGUGGCUAGAGGUAGGUAGGGGAGAUCGGAAUUCCUGGUGUAGCGGUGAAAUGCGCAGAUAUCAGGAGGAACACCGGUGGCGAAGGCGGGCUACUGGGCCGAUACUGACGCUGAUGCGCGAAAGCCAGGGGAGCGAACGGG